GUCAAGAGUAUUGUAUUAGAGAAAGACCGUAUUGCAUUUGUAAUCCUAAACUGAAUAGGUUCUCCACCUCUUCUUAUUAGCUUGGGUAACCAUGAUAUGCUGCUAGGUGUCACUCAUGGUUUGUGGAAGCCCUAAACGUGUAUAAUCACUAAAGGGUGAAUUGAAAGUAAGUUUCAAUUCACAAUCGAUGUGAAAUGGUUUUAAUCGCCCACUGCCUCGCUAAAAGGAACCUAAUAGAUCGUACACCGUGUAAGGUGAAGAUUGAAGAAACAAUGGAGAUGAGUAAGAAUAAUUAAAUGGUUCAAUUAUUUAUGGCAAGGAUUAAUUAAUAUGUUAAUUAAUCAAACGAAUAAGUUCGUUAAAGACCUCGGGAUAGUUUUGGACCUUAAAGCCCAAUGGGCUUCGAACAUCAAGCCCAUUGACUUAAGUUGUAUGACAAUUUAAUGAAUAAAGAUUCACAAAGGCCCAAAAGCCCAAAUUCCCUAUGUGGCCGGCCAUGUGUGAUGAAUUAGGGUUUUGGUUCUUUAGGUCACUUAAAGAAGUGACUAUAAAAAGGACUUUAUAGCCUAAAAUUCAUUAAGGGUUUUUUGUGGAGAAAAUUGGAGAGAACAUGUCUCUCCUUUUCUCUCUAGGAGGCCGGCCCCCUUGGAGGGUGCAUCUAGCAAUCCCACUACU
rnacentral:lncRNA from 1 species